GGUGUAGCGCAGUUGGUUAGCGCGCCAGAUUGUGGCUCUGGAAGUCGUGAGUUCGAAUCUCAUCAUC
rnacentral:tRNA from 1 species